UAAUGCUAAAAAAAUGUUCUGUGGCCUUCUAGCCUAACAAAUCAGGAGGAACCCGAGACCUGAAACAUCUCUGUGCAGAUGAUGAACAAAGUAGGACCUGUUGGAUGACAGCAAUUAGGUUGCUUAAGGUAAUUUUUCUGUGUGGAGUUAACUUCUUGCUUAGGUUUACUCUGUGCAAUUUUGAUAUUGUGUGCUAGAGGAACAUCUAGGUUCCCAUGCAAUAGCAAUCUCAACUUUGUACUCUGAAAUGUGAAAGCUUAUUGUAUUUCAACCCAAUAAAUGGAGACCAAAUUACUGAAAUCAUUGUAGGGCAUGGGAUGAUGUCUUGAAGCCUCAGUCCUGCAAAUACUUAACUAUAAGCAUAUGCUUAUAUGCAACCAUGUUGAAGUCAUUGAGGUUGUUGAGUAAUAUUGAACAAAACAACAGGAAUAUGCAAGAAUGUUUUUAGUAUGUUUUUAAAAUGUGUCUAUGUGUGACAAAAUAGGAGUAGGUCAUUUGUUGUAUUAAAUGGGUAGCAUUUAAAGCAGAGUGUACGUUUAUAAAGGCAGCAGCAACAGUGGUGAUAAUGUGCAUUUCCUUAUCCUAAGAGCAGUUGUCCCUGAGUUUUAAUAGUAAAGAAAAGCAUGUGUUAUCAUUGACAUCUGGGAAAAACAAUUUACUUAGCUUAGGGUUAUAAUUUAAAAUGCUAAGCAUGUUAUUUUCUGGUUUCAGUAUGGGAUGCAGCUGUAUCAGAAUUGCAUGCAACCGUAUCAAGGUAGAAGCGGCUGCAGCCCUUUGAAUAUAACACCUAUGAGAAGUAUCUCAGAAAAUUCUUUGGUAGCAAUGGAUUUCUCAGGACACAGAAGCAGAAUUAUAGAAAAUCCAACAGAAGCCCUUUAAGUUGCAGUUGAAGAAGGAUGAGUGUGGCAGAGGAGAGGUUGCCUGUGACUCAACUCACAUGGUAGUCCUAUUGCCAUGUCUAACAUGGCUAUACACAGAUCUCAGUUGUGGUUUCAUCAUAAAAUAAUCUAGAGGAGAGGCUCACAGACUUAUUUUGCAGCAUGGACUUGUAGAUG